rnacentral:rRNA from 1 species
GACGAACGCUGGCGGCGUGCUUAACACAUGCAAGUCGAACGGAAAGGCCCUGCUUUUGUGGGGUGCUCGAGUGGCGAACGGGUGAGUAACACGUGAGUAACCUGCCCUUGACUUUGGGAUAACUUCAGGAAACUGGGGCUAAUACCGGAUAGGAGCUCCUGCUGCAUGGUGGGGGUUGGAAAGUUUCGGCGGUUGGGGAUGGACUCGCGGCUUAUCAGCUUGUUGGUGGGGUAGUGGCUUACCAAGGCUUUGACGGGUAGCCGGCCUGAGAGGGUGACCGGCCACAUUGGGACUGAGAUACGGCCCAGACUCCUACGGGAGGCAGCAGUGGGGAAUAUUGCGCAAUGGGCGGAAGCCUGAUGCAGCAACGCCGCGUGCGGGAUGACGGCCUUCGGGUUGUAAACCACUUUCGCCUGUGACGAAGCGUGAGUGACGGUAAUGGGUAAAGAAGCACCGGCUAACUACGUG